CGAACGGGUGAGUAAUGCGUGACCAACCUGCCCCAUGCUCCAGAAUAGCUCUUGGAAACGGGUGGUAAUGCUGGAUGCUCCAACUUGACGCAUGUCUUGUUGGGAAAGUGUUUAGUGGCAUGGGAUGGGGUCGCGUCCUAUCAGCUUGUAGGCGGGGUAAUGGCCCACCUAGGCUUCGACGGGUAGCCGGCCUGAGAAGGCGGACGGCCACAUUGGGACUGAGAUACGGCCCAGACUCCUACGGGAGGCAGCAGCC
rnacentral:rRNA from 1 species